ensembl:lncRNA
CAAAUGUUCAAGUGCCCCCCUAGUAGUCCCUUGGGUUUAGCUUGUGGGUCCCAGAUUACUCAAGAGUGAUUGACACAUUGAAAAAAGUUACAUUUUCUGACGGAUGGGUUAUGCCGUUUUGUUUAGUUUUGAUUAGGGGGGAGUUCGGUAGUGCAUUUAACUAUCCCUCCUGCUUGCACUGGAUGCGGGGGACUAAUUAAAACAGCUUGCGUACCAGAAGCAGAGUCAGGGAUCGCACAUAGAAACUUGGAUAUGUUUGCAGAGUCAAAUUCCAUCUUGGAGCCGGGUGAGUCAGGAGAAACCAUGGGACCAUAGCACUCACCCACUUCCACAACAGCAACGAGGCCAUCCACCGCUUUCCACUCCGGAGGGGUUCCUCACUUGAGUGGGUUGAGUCACUGACGUGAUCUUCCUGUCCGGGUUGGCGCACCCCUCGGGUUCGUGCCGUGAGGGAGAUCUUCGUGGGCUAUACUCAUCCUUGUCUCAGGAUUGACCUGAGCCCUAGGACCAUGCCUCAGGACUACCUGAUCUAAUGACUCCUUGCUGUCCCCAGUCUGACAUUUACUCCUGAGGUGCAGACCUUUGCACCCUCUACAACCUCUAUGAACGUUUCAACAUCUUGGCCAUUUACUGAUAUAAUCUCCACCCAGCACAGCCAGAAGAAGACUGGCCAACCCUCA